rnacentral:rRNA from 1 species
UACGAAGGGUGCAAGCGUUACUCGGAAUUACUGGGCGUAAAGCGUGCGUAGGUGGUUUGUUAAGUCCGAUGUGAAAGCCCUGGGCUCAACCUGGGAAUGGCAUUGGAUACUGGCAGGCUAGAGUGCGGUAGAGGGUAGUGGAAUUCCCGGUGUAGCAGUGAAAUGCGUAGAGAUCGGGAGGAACAUCUAUGGCGAAGGCAGCCAUCUGGACCAGUACUGACGCUGAGGCACGAAAGCGUGGGGAGCAAACAGG